CAAAUCACUCUUUAAUCUCUGCUGAAAAUUCUCUUUCUUAAACCACAGACAAAACCCCAAUUUCUCCAUCGCUAUUUCUUAAACCCUAACGAAUUUCUUAAAUCAAAUUGCUGUUUCUCCAUUGUAUGAAGAAGAUUAAUAAGGAUUUCGAUAUGGAUUAUUUCAACAAACUACCGGACGAGAUUAAAUCAGAGAUUUUAAUUUGUGUAACAAGUGAAUCGGUGCUUGAUAGCAAAUUAGUCUGCAAAUCUUGGCGAAAUCUUCUUUCUAAUGAUCGAUCUUUCCCUCAGAAGCAUUUGUACCAUCUUAAUCAUCCAUCUACUGCUGCUGAAGAUUCUUGUAAGUCAGGUUUUCUUGCUUUAAUUGAUAACAAUAGAUUGUACUUUUUUGAAUAUAAUGAUGAUCAGAAUCAUGAGUUAAGCAAACCCAUUGAGAGAAUUAGUAGGAUGAUUAUAACACCAAUUAAGGGUUCUCGCGUUAUUGGAUCUUGUAAUGGUUUAAUCUGUCUUGCUGGAGAGGAACAUAAUAUACCUGUUUGUAUAUGUAACCCUUUCACCAAAGAGUAUGUCAAUCUUCCAGAAAUCAGGAUAGAUGGUGAUGAUUUUGAUUUUCAGUCUUUCGGAUUUGGUUAUCUUCCUUCAACAAAUGAGUACAAAGUGGUAGCAGUACAUGUGUUCAAGACCGAGUUAAUAGAAGUCCACAUAUACACUCUAGGCAGUGGCAAUGGAUGGAGAAACCUUGGAAAGUUCAAGACAGAAUUCUGUCCUAUGUAUAAUCAAGAUCAUGAACAUGGUAGCUUUGCCAAUGGAUCUAUUUAUUGGGCUAACACUAAUCUGCAUAUGAUCUUGACCUUCGACUUGAUUGAGGAAAAAUUCUGCAAACAUCUUGCACCUCCUCCAUUGCCACCAGACUCCAAUUUGAUGCAUCAUACAAUAGGGGUUUUGGAUGGAUCUUUGUAUAUUUCUAUAAUUGACAAAGGAGAAGAUGGUUUUGAUGUAUGGAUAUUAAAAAAGAAGAAUGAUAAUCAAGUCAAGAAAGAGGGAGAGGAACACCGCUCAUUGGAAUGGAGUAAAGAGUUUAGGGCCAAUGCAAGCCAUGCAUUAGCCGUUACUAAGAGGGGGGAUGUUUUAACUUACUGUACUAUUGAUAACGAUCUCAACAUUUACGACACAAAAGCUUCAACCUCGAAAGGGCUUGUGGAUUUUAAGAAAAAUAUUUGUCGAGUAUUCCCUCACAAGAACACCUUCGCAUCGUUGAAGGAAUUAGGGGAAAAAAAUACGGAAAUAGUAUCGUUGAAGGAAUUAUGGGAAAAAGAUAAGGAAAUAAUGGAGGCAGUUAAUCGUAUCGUUGAAGAAAUUAGGGGAAAAAGAUACGGAAAUAAUGAAGUCAGUUAAAGGAGGCAGAAAGCCGUGAUUCACCUUUCAAGCAGCUACAGGAGGAUGCGAACCCUGACUACAUAGUUAUAAACUGAGAGAACUGUUGAAAGUGUUUGUCCCAUUGUUUUUGGAUGGAAACAAAUGGUAGCGAACCAUGAAAGGCAAGUUUCAGGAAAAGAUGAUACUCCUGUGUGCCCGUGUCUCAGUGGAGAGAUUCAUUCUGCAGGUAGAGUUAUUGUUUACAAAUAAAAUUUGUUCGUGCAAUAUGAAGAGAACUUAUAUAUGCUAGCAAUUAUAUACCCAUAAUUCUAAGUGUACACCAGCCUCCAACAUGGCCUAAUUGUAAGUUUGAAUAUCUCUUCUUUUCCUUUCUGUUUUAGUGCAACUAUCUUGGUCCACGUCUUUUAUUUGCUCAAUUUUCACUUUCUUCGGAGAAUUUUAUUUCCUGGACAGGCAUGCUUUCUUUCACUAUCAGAUGCCAGUUCCUUGGAUGUCCUCUACAUAGUAACAUCAGUAUAUUUCUCAGGAGUCAUGGUUCUGCUGAUGUACUUUCCCCAGCAGGACGCAUUAUGGCUGGAAUUGCUUUCUGGAGCUUUUGGCGUCUUCACAAGCUCAGUAAAAUUUUAACUGCCUGGAUUACUAGGGGAUUCUGAUGUAAGCCUGUUUCUGGUUUUCUUGCUAGUGCAAAUUCUUCCCGGGACGUGGUACAAAACAGCGUAGCCAAGGCUGAUUCAAAUGCAGCUGCUGAGAAAAGCGAAGAAAGAAAAAGAACCUGUUGUGAAGGAUUCUGUUUAGUCCAACUGGUCUUACCUUUGGAUGCAUCUAUGAUUGCCUUCACUUGCUUAUUUUGUUGGGUGCCUUUUCUGUGGUAAGUAGAAAAUACUCCUCUGUAGAGGGAAUUCCCCAGAUGCGGAGGCCAUUCAUUUUUCACGUGUUCUUGUCCUGGUACCUUUGUUUUAUAGACAGCAGGGAUUUUAAUUGCCAAAAAAUUCAUUGUAGAUUCUUUGUUUUACUCAGCACCUUCUAUUGUUCCAACAUCUCAGUCACAUGAUGACCUUCAUGUUUCCGGUGAUUUUAGAGAAGCUUAUGCUUGUCUAAGCCAUAACACUUAAGUAGAUGAUGAGGUCAGUCUACCUCAUACUGGUUAUUUGAGUCGCUUCCGAUCCUGAGAAUGUUGUUUGUUUGACUAUCUUUGCUGAUUAAGAACUGAUGAGCUUGUUUUGCAAAACAAAAGAAAUAGAGUGAUGGUUUUGGUACUUAUGAAGUAUUGCCUGUAGGUUGUGUUAACAGACUGUCAUUGCUGAUACUAAUACCUAGAAUAACACAUAUAUUGCGACUGUUGGAACUGCCAGGGCAGCAACUGCUCUUUUAGCCAUGGUAAGUUCCAUACACUUCUGCAUAUAUUAUUUUGAUGAAAAGGAGUUGGCUGUGCUUGGUAGUUUUUUGAGUCAACAAUUACUACUAUAUUAGCGUAAAAAAAAAGAUCUGCAGAAAUAUAUGUUCCGAAAGUUCAGCUGUAAAUAGAGUCUGAUGAAUUAAAAUAACCCAUCAGCAACUAUGACGUGUAUCAUUUACUUUUUGUCGAAAUUAGAUAUGUACAUGUUAGUGUAUUUAUUAUAUGCUGUUCAAGUGUUUUACAGCCUUAAACCACCAUUUUUAAUAUGUUUUGGCUAUCAUAUACAGUUGUUAAAGACCCAAUAUCUCUGUGCAAUGGUUUUCUUAAGGCCCUUAUUUCUUCAACUAAAUGUCUGGUACGUUCUAUAUGUAGGAUCAUUCAUAUAUAUCUCGUUCUGUAGCUUGAGGCUAUGAAAAUGAAGCUGUACCUAUCAUUGCUUGGAUCUUCACUUUCUAUCUUUAUAUAAAGGCGUGAAUUUAUUCUUAAAUUGUCGUUUUCUUAAAAGUUAUACUGCUUGUCUGAGUGUUCUGUCGACUUCACAUUCUCAUGGGUUUGUAGAGACUGGUGAGCAUAUAUCUAAGAUGAAAUGAGAAGUGAUAAUUCUGCAGCUAUGAACUGUUUUUGGAUCGUAGUGUCAAACUUUUGACUUACGUUGAACACCGGAUCCUUCUUCUAUGUCACUUUAAAUGCUUUAGCAUACUAUCUACACGGUAAGUAUGACGGACUGAUGUUACAUGUGGUCAUACUUCUUUUGUUCUUACAUGUGUUGGUGACAUUUUAUUUUUCAGGUGUGCUCUUCGGAGGUUACACCUGUAUAUUAACCUCACCCCAAUACAUAUGCUUCUGUGCAUUGCAACUGGUUGUGACUCUCCUUGGCUGUAUUUUGCGUAUGCACCUUUUGUGGUUCUGGGUACAUUGUUGGUUUCAUUGGUGCUUGUUGUUGGCAGUUGGCUUCAAAGCCGUGAUGACCUUAGAACACUUCCCGGUAUUUUUGGGUGGUCUAAUUGCCGUUGUGGCAAUGCUUGUAGCAGUGGUGGCCUCCAGCCGCCAACAAAGGGAUGGAGUGGUCGCAGUUUGAGUCUUCUUGAUCCUAAGAUUCUACUCCCACAACUUAUUUUAUUAUUUACAAAUUUUUCUAAUUUUGUUACAAGAGGAAAUGGUGAAUGACAGAAUAUUUCAAAAUAACUAGUAGAAUUUAUCCAAUGCAACUGAGCCACAUGUUCGACCGACUCCUGUCUGUAUAACUCGAACAGAUAUAUGCCCAUGAUUGUUAAGUGAACACCAGCUGCCAACAUGGCAAUCUUACAUUAUGGACAUCAAUAUUUUGGCUUUCUUGGUUCCAGCUGGCAUAAUUAAGACUUUUAUUUCUGGAUAGGCAUGCUUUCUUCCACUAUCAGAUGCCAGUUCCUUUGCUGUCCAUUAUAUUGUAACAUCAGUAUAUUUCCGAGGAGUCGUGGUCUUCACCUAUCACCACACACCAUUUGAUGGUCCCAAGGAACAGGACAGGAUCAAAGGAAAGACGGGAAUGAGGACUGUCUCAGUGGAGAGACUCACUCGUAUAAUAAUGUCUGAAAAUUCAAAAUUAUCUGAAUGGAUUUUUGACUAUCCGUUGCAAGAUUUUAUAUUCUGAUACAUUGAAAGCUUUGUAUUUUCACCUAGAAAAGUAAAGAUAGCCAAUUUUUUAA